AAGAAGAAGCUAUCAUGUCACAAACUUCCCCACCCAAACUCCUACCCACCAUAGGGCCAUCGUGGGAACUACGCUCUUGCUCAGGCAAUCAAUCAAUAGUGGUUAUACAGAGAACUGAGAUUAAGUUCUGCCUUCUCACCAUUUGGAGGAGAGAGACAAACCCAUUUUCCUUUGUGUCUGGGCUGGUGGAAGAAUGAAGAAAAGAAGACUGGGGGUAAGGGAAGAAGUGGAAGGGACUGUCUACCAUGCACAGUCUGAAGCACAUCCCUGGGAGUCCCAGGAAUGCCAACUCAGCAGCCAUAGAAGCAGCAGCAACAUCUGGUCCUGGGCCGAGCUAAAAAGGGGGAAAAGGAGAACUAGGAUUCACUUUCAUUGAAACCCCAAGGCAGGAGGGAAGUUGCAGUUCUCCAGUUCUGUUCCCCAUUCUUUCUUUGUACAGCAUCCAAAGUCCUGGUGUGGAAACAGUCAAAAUUAACUGCCAAUAUCAAUCAGUACUGUGGACAUCUGCCUCUCCCAAGGCUUGAUCAUUCUGGCUUGUAUUUUCUAGUGGGGGGAAGGGAAGAAGAGGAAGGUGAAAUCUUAAUAGUUGUGUGACCUUUCUCAAGUUACUUCUCUCUACAAUUCAGUUUCUUCUUUUAAUGAGUGGACUAUAUGACUUUUAAGUGACCUUUUAGUUUUAAAUCCUAUGAUCCUAUGUACAUAUGAAGGAAUAGUCUGCAGAGUUCCUUUCCAUAGACUUUAAAAACUGGAAAAGAUCUUAGAGGUAAUCUAGUCCAGAAGUAUCUCAAUUUUCUUGCAUACAUUGGGGUUGGCUACAUACUGACAAAUUCAGAAUUGCUAUGUUGAGAGGUGUAAAGGCAUGGAUGCAAAGGAGGUUGGAGGAUUUUUUUUCUUUUUGCAAAAUAGAGAAAAUUAAGUCUGUUUUCAUACAGGAUGAUUACUUAAUGUAAUAAACAUUUUUGGUACA